UUUUUUUUUUUAGUGGUGAUGGCUUCAAGAACAUACUAGUAUUUGUAACACUUGUUGCUUGUUAUUUAUUUACUUUGCAGCCUGGCAAAAGUAUGGGGCAGAACUAUGCUAAAUGGGUAAAGGGACUGAAACGUGCUCUUACUCCCAACCUGGCAUUUGGUCUGCUAGGACAGUGGUUUCCAGCAUCAGAGAUGAAGUGGUGCACAGAGUAGAGUCCAAGCUGAGAAGCUCUUCUAGUGAGGAACUGGUGAUCCCCCAUGUGAAAGGAGGUAGUGAGAAAAUUCUGGUGGGAGGACACAGGAGGAUGUGGCAGGAAGGGUCUGGAGGUGGAGGAAGAACUGUGAAGAAGAUGUAGCUGUAGUGAGAAGGUGAGGUGGAGGAGGAGAAAGAGAAGAGGGGCAACAGUGAGGCUGGUUUCAGAAAGACUGGGAACCAUAGCAAGACGGUAUGCCAUCUCUCUUAUUACUGAACUUUAAGGGGCCACCCUCCGAAAGCCAGAAGAAGAUGACUCUGCAGUAACAUUACAGCAAUUAGUAAGUCUUAGUCCAGAGCAGCAGAAUGAGAAGAAAGGAAGCAAAACAUAUUGUGCUCUCUGGAUCUCCUGAUGGCAGAUCGUGUGCAAGAUUUUGGCUGGCUGGAUUAGAAGCUUAUUACAGUUUUCAGGAAGUUAUUAAAGAAAAUCUUCCCGUCUCAUCAAUUAGUUUUCUGUGACAACAUUUAUUACUACAGCUUCGGAAAAACACAACUCCAGCAGGAAUACAACUUUUUUUCUGUCAUCCUUUAUGUAAUAGAGACAGUUCAGAGUUUGAACAAAUAAACAUUUGUGUGUCUACCA